rnacentral:rRNA from 1 species
GACAGAGGGUGCAAACGUUGUUCGGAAUUACUGGGCGUAAAGCGCGUGUAGGCGGCUAAGUAAGUCGGGCGUGAAAUCCCACGGCUCAACCGUGGAAGUGCACUCGAAACUGCAUAGCUAGAGUCCUGGAGAGGAAGGUGGAAUGCUUGGUGUAGAGGUGAAAUUCGUAGAUAUCAAGCGGAACACCAGUGGCGAAGGCGGCUUACUGGUCCGGUUCUGACGCUGAGGCGCGAAAGCGUGGGGAGCAAACAGG